CCUACGGGCGGCAGCAGUGGGGAAUAUUGGACAAUGGGGGGAACCCUGAUCCAGCCAUGCCGCGUGUGUGAAGAAGGCCCUCGGGUUGUAAAGCACUUUCAGUGAGGAAGAACGCCUGGUGGUUAAUACCCAUCAGGAAAGACAUCACUCACAGAAGAAGCACCGGCUAACUCCGUGCCAGCAGCCGCGGUAAUACGGAGGGUGCGAGCGUUAAUCGGAAUUACUGGGCGUAAAGCGCGCGUAGGUGGCUUGAUAAGCCGGUUGUGAAAGCCCCGGGCUCAACCUGGGAACGGCAUCCGGAGGUGGCGAGCAGAGGCGCAGGGGAGGAAGGUAGAAGCGGGGGGGUAGCGGCGAAACGGGCAGAGGUCGGGCGGAGUGCCCGGGGCGAAGGAGGACCUAUCGGGUGACAAUGACCCGGAGGUCCGCAAUCGUGGGUAGACAACAGGAUCAGAACGACGAGGGGUC
rnacentral:rRNA from 1 species